UACAGAGGUCCCAAGCGUUGUUCGGAUUUACUGGGCGUAAAGGGUGCGUAGGUGGUGAGGUAAGUCUAAUGUGAAAUCUCCGAGCUUAACUCGGAAACUGCAUCGGAUACUAUCUCGCUCGAGGGUUGGAGGGGAGACUGGAAUACUUGGUGUAGCAGUGAAAUGCGUAGAUAUCAAGUGGAACACCAGUGGCGAAGGCGAGUCUCUGGACAACUCCUGACACUGAGGCGCGAAAGCGUGGGGAGCAAACAGG
rnacentral:rRNA from 1 species